GGCAGUGUAGCAUGAUGGGUAAGGAGCUGGUCUUGUAACCUAAAGGUCGCAGGUUCGAUUCCUGGGUAGAACACUGCCA
rnacentral:tRNA from 1 species